CUUGGUGCUCGAAAGAGAACCUGGACACAGGUGCUGCAUGGCCGUCGUCAGCUCGUGUCGUGAGAUGUUGGGUUAAGUCCCGCAACGAGCGCAACCCUUAUCAUUAGUUGCUACGCAAGGGCACUCUAAUGAGACUGCCGGUGACAAACCGGAGGAAGGUGGGGAUGACGUCAGGUCAUCAUGGCCCUUAUGGGUAGGGCUACACACGUCAUACAAUGGCCGGUACAGAGGGCUGCCAACCCGCGAGGGGGAGCUAAUCUCAGAAAACCGGUCGUAGUCCGGAUCGCAGUCUGCAACUCGACUGCGUGAAGUCGGAAUCGCUAGUAAUCGCGGAUCAGCUUGCCGCGGUGAAUACGUUCCCGGGUCUUGUACACACCGCCCGUAAUCGAUUCCGCGGCCGCCAGCGGCCGAG
rnacentral:rRNA from 1 species